GCCCGGGUGGUGAAAUUGGUAGACACAGGAGACUUAAAAUCUCCCGAUCGAAAGAUCGUACCGGUUCGAUUCCGGUCUCGGGCACCA
rnacentral:tRNA from 1 species